rnacentral:rRNA from 6 species
UUUAAUUGAAGAGUUUGAUCAUGGCUCAGAUUGAACGCUGGCGGCAGGCCUAACACAUGCAAGUCGAGCGGCAGC